GACCUCAGAUCAGGCAAGACUACCCGCUGAAUUUAAGCAUAUUAAUAAGCGGAGGAAAAGAAACUAACAAGGAUUCCCUCAGUAACGCCGAGUGAAGCGGGAAAUGGCUCAAAUUGAAAAUCGCCCACCUCCCGACAAGAGGGGUGGUGCGAGUUGUAAUAGAGAGAAGCGCCGUCCGGGCCCCGUGCGGGUUCGCGCCCAAGUCGCCUGAAGGGCGCGUCGUGGAGGGUGAGAACCCCGUCUCUAGGCGCGACCCGGGGCCGGCGA
rnacentral:rRNA from 1 species